rnacentral:rRNA from 1 species
AUUGAACGCUGGCGGCAGGCCUAACACAUGCAAGUCGAGCGGAUGACGGGAGCUUGCUCCUUGAUUCAGCGGCGGACGGGUGAGUAAUGCCAGGAAUCUGCCUGGUAGUGGGGGACAACGUUUCGAAAGGAACGCUAAUACCGCAUACGUCCUACGGGAGAAAGCAGGGGACCUUCGGGCCUUGCGCUAUCAGAUGAGCCUAGGUCGGAUUAGCUAGUUGGUGGGGUAAUGGCUCACCAAGGCGACGAUCCGUAACUGGUCUGAGAGGAUGAUCAGUAACACUGGAACUGAGACACGGUCCAGACUCCUACGGGAGGCAGCAGUGGGGAAUAUUGGACAAUGGGCGAAAGCCUGAUCCAGCCAUGCCGCGUGUGUGAAGAAGGUCUUCGGAUUGUAAAGCACUUUAAGUUGGGAGGAAGGGCAGUAAGUUAAUACCUUGCUGUUUUGACGUUACCGACAGAAUAAGCACCGGCUAACUCUGUGCCAGCCGCCGCCGUAA